rnacentral:rRNA from 1 species
GAUGAACGCUGGCGGCGUGCUUAACACAUGCAAGUCGAACGAAGCACUUUAUUUGAUUUCCUUCGGGACUGAUUAUUUUGUGACUGAGUGGCGGACGGGUGAGUAACGCGUGGGUAACCUGCCUUGUACAGGGGGAUAACAGUUGGAAACGGCUGCUAAUACCGCAUAAGCGCACAGCAUCGCAUGAUGCAGUGUGAAAAACUCCGGUGGUAUAAGAUGGACCCGCGUUGGAUUAGCUAGUUGGGGAGGUAACGGCCCACCAAGGCGACGAUCCAUAGCCGACCUGAGAGGGUGACCGGCCACAUUGGGACUGAGACACGGCCCAAACUCCUACGGGAGGCAGCAGUGGGGAAUAUUGCACAAUGGGCGAAAGCCUGAUGCAGCGACGCCGCGUGAGCGAAGAAGUAUUUCGGUAUGUAAAGCUCUAUCAGCAGGGAAGAUAAUGACGGUACCUGACUAAGAAGCACCGGCUAAAUACGUG